rnacentral:rRNA from 1 species
UAAGGCUGAUGGCGACCGGCGCACGGGUGAGUAACACGUAUCCAACCUGCCGUCUACUCUUGGCCAGCCUUCUGAAAGGAAGAUUAAUCCAGGAUGGCAUCAUGAGUUCACAUGUCCGCAUGAUUAAAGGUAUUUUCCGGUAGACGAUGGGGAUGCGUUCCAUUAGAUAGUAGGCGGGGUAACGGCCCACCUAGUCAACGAUGGAUAGGGGUUCUGAGAGGAAGGUCCCCCACAUUGGAACUGAGACACGGUCCAAACUCCUACGGGAGGCAGCAGUGAGGAAUAUUGGUCAAUGGGCGAUGGCCUGAACCAGCCAAGUAGCGUGAAGGAUGACUGCCCUAUGGGUUGUAAACUUCUUUUAUAAAGGAAUAAAGUCGGGUAUGCAUACCCGUUUGCAUGUACUUUAUGAAUAAGGAUCGGCUAACUCCGUGCCAGCAGCCGCGGUAAUACGGAGGAUCCGAGCGUUAUCCGGAUUUAUUGGGUUUAAAGGGAGCGUAGAUGGAUGUUUAAGUCAGUUGUGAAAGUUUGCGGCUCAACCGUAAAAUUGCAGUUGAUACUGGAUGUCUUGAGUGCAGUUGAGGCAGGCGGAAUUCGUGGUGUAGCGGUGAAAUGCUUAGAUAUCACGAAGAACUCCGAUUGCGAAGGCAGCCUGCUAAGCUGCAACUGACAUUGAGGCUCGAAAGUGUGGGUAUCAAACAGG